rnacentral:rRNA from 1 species
UCUACCCUACGGGAGGCAGCAGUAGGGAAUUUUCGUCAAUGGGCGCAAGCCUGAACGAGCAAUGCCGCGUGAACGAGGAAGGUCUUCGGAUCGUAAAGUUCUGUUGAAGGGGAAAAAGAGCGGAGAGAGGAAAUGGUCUCCGAUUGAUAUUACCCUUCGAGGAAGUCACGGCUAACUACGUGCCAGCAGCCGCGGUAAUACGUAGGUGGCGAGCGUUAUCCGGAAUGAUUGGGCGUAUAGGGUGCGUUGGCGGC